rnacentral:tRNA from 1 species
GCCGAUAUAGCUCAAUUGGUAGAGCAGCUGAUUUGUAAUCAGCAGGUUGCGGGUUCGAGUCCCAUUGUCGGCU